CUUACUUUAACUUAUUGCACCCACUGAUCUCAUUAAAGUGGAUAUGGCAUAGGACGAAAUAAGUGUGACCAAUUGAAGGUUGUAGUCUCUGUACACAAUAUGGCGGUGUAUACGAAUACGAACACAGUUUACUGUGACGAUGAUACGAAAUUCCACGUGUAAUUAAUUAUCUAUAGACAUAGAUGUGUAGCAGUUUUAUCCAAAAUAUUACUUUUUUUAUAAUAAAAAUAGUAAAAUAGUAAAAUAGUGAGAUUCCAAAAUUAAAAAAUGUGUUUAUUGUGGAAAAGGAAGUGAAAAUAAACAACAAACGUUUCAUAGCUGCAAGUAUGGAUUACUACAACACAAUUAAGGACACGAGGACAAAAUAAGCUAUAACAAUACCCUUUAAACUUAUUUAUAAGUUUAGUAGUAGUAGUAUUAUUUAUUAGUAAAAUUAUUUAACAAGAUGGUCAUAAAUAAAAAUUUACGAUUUUUAGAC